rnacentral:rRNA from 1 species
UACGUAGGGUCCGAGCGUUGUCCGGAAUUACUGGGCGUAAAGAGCUCGUAGGUGGUUUGUCGCGUUGUUCGUGAAAACUCACAGCUUAACUGUGGGCGUGCGGGCGAUACGGGCAGACUGGAGUACUGCGGGGGAGACUGGAAUUCCUGGUGUAGCGGUGGAAUGCGCAGAUAUCAGGAGGAACACCGGUGGCGAAGGCGGGUCUCUGGGCAGUAACUGACGCUGAGGAGCGAAAGCGUGGGGAGCGAACAGG